GAGACAAAGGCAAAAAAGAAUUCAAUCAGGAAUGAUUUUGGUCCAGAUUUGGGACUAAAACUAGAUGUUUCUCCUUAUUUACCUGAUAAAGGAUGAUUAAGCCUUUAUUGACACAGGCACAGAGAAGCGGAGUGCUGCUUGUGGACAAAAAAAUCGUAAGAACUGAGAUAGGAGUUCUUCUUCGCCUCUCACAUCCAAACAUUAUAAAACUUAAAGAGAUAUUUGAAACCCCUACAGAAAUCAGUCUGGUCCUAGAACUCGUCACAGGAGGAGAACUGUUUGAUAGGAUUGUGGAAAAGGGAUAUUACAGUGAGCGAGAUGCUGCAGAUGCCGUUAAACAAAUCCUGGAGGCAGUUGCUUAUCUACAUGAAAAUGGGAUUGUCCAUCGUGAUCUCAAACCAGAGAAUCUUCUUUAUGCAACUCCAGCCCCAGAUGCACCACUCAAAAUUGCUGAUUUUGGACUCUCUAAAAUUGUGGAACAUCAAGUGCUCAUGAAGACAGUAUGUGGAACCCCAGGGUACUGCGUUCUUUCCAUGGCCUGGCCUAGCCUCACUAAGACAAGGACUUCAGGUGAGAUUUUCCUAGAAGAGUUCUCCAGUCCCUGCAGAUGGACCACAACUACAUUGAGCUCUUCACAUCUUCCCGCCUCAUCGCCCAGAGUGGGCUGAAGGCAUUGCAAUCAGAAAGAACAAAAGCUUUUGACCCAUACUAGCAUAAAACCUGCUCUUUUUUUCUUGAUGGUCGAAUUAAUUUGGCAACAACCUGAAAGCCAAUAAAGUUUGUAAAAA
rnacentral:sRNA from 1 species